rnacentral:rRNA from 1 species
GACGAACGCUGGCGGCGUGCCUAAUACAUGCAAGUAGAACGCUGAAGAGAAGAGCUUGCUCUUCUUGGAUGAGUUGCGAACGGGUGAGUAACGCGUAGGUAACCUGCCUGGUAGCGGGGGAUAACUAUUGGAAACGAUAGCUAAUACCGCAUAAAAUUGAUUAUUGCAUGAUAAUUAAUUGAAAGAUGCAAUUGCAUUACUACCAGAUGGACCUGCGUUGUAUUAGCUAGUUGGUGAGGUAACGGCUCACCAAGGCGACGAUACAUAGCCGACCUGAGAGGGUGAUCGGCCACACUGGGACUGAGACACGGCCCAGACUCCUACGGGAGGCAGCAGUAGGGAAUCUUCGGCAAUGGGGGGAACCCUGACCGAGCAACGCCGCGUGAGUGAAGAAGGUUUUCGGAUCGUAAAGCUCUGUUGUAAGAGAAGAACGGGUGUGAGAGUGGAAAGUUCACACUGUGACGGUAUCUUACCAGAAAGGG